GUGAAUACAAAAUGAUCAGAUCAGUGAGAAUGGGCACCAAACUCAAGAUCAAGACAAGUAAAACAUAAUCAACCUCGGCCUCAACUGGAUGGUCUGGUCUGAGUAGAAGAUGUCGGAGGAUGGAAGGCGAUAGGCUGAACAAAAGUGGGCUCACUGGAUACAGAGGGUCUAGACUAGAGCUGAGUCCUAAUGGCAUCUAGCUGGGAUAGAACUCCUCUCACUGAAACUCUGAGCCCCUU
rnacentral:lncRNA from 1 species